UACGUAGGGUGCGAGCGUUGUCCGGAAUUACUGGGCGUAAAGAGCUCGUAGGUGGUUUGUCGCGUUGUUCGUGAAAACCGGGGGCUUAACCCUCGGCGUGCGGGCGAUACGGGCAGACUUGAGUACUGCAGGGGAGACUGGAAUUCCUGGUGUAGCGGUGGAAUGCUCAGAUAUCAGGAGGAACACCGGUGGCGAAGGCGGGUCUCUGGGCAGUAACUGACGCUGAGGAGCGAAAGCGUGGGGAGCGAACAGG
rnacentral:rRNA from 1 species